rnacentral:lncRNA from 1 species
UAAAGUUGCAGAAUAAUCUGUGAAUGUUCUUACCUGUCCUUCUCUCCCUUUGAGAAUUGUUGCUCAUUGUUUUAUUUCUCCAUGUUGCUUCCAAUCUUUAAUAAUCCUCUAGGAUUAGUACUUAAUCCCAGCAAACAAAAAAAGCAAAGCGUCCCUAUCAUUAUAAUGAGGAAAAGAAAAAUUUCAUCAAGAAGAGAUGAGAUAUUAGUAAGUAUUACCAACAACCAUCAACUUUGUGCUCAGCACCAUGGAAUUUAUAGUAAGAACAAAAAUAUAGAAAGUCAAAGAUAAAUUGUUAUUGUUAUUCAGUAAGCAUUUAGCAUAUAUAAACUAUAUGAAAUGUACAGUCUUGUUUGUCUCAUACAAGUAAGUUUGCUUUCCUGAAAAGGAAAUAGAUUAGAUGAUGCUAUUA